ACAAACUUGGUCAUUUAGAGGAAGUAAAAGUCGUAACAAGGUUUCCGUAGGUGAACCUGCGGAAGGAUCAUUAACGAUUUGAAUAUCCCAUUCAUAUGGAUUUCAAUUCAAUCCAUAUCCACCUUGUGUGCACCUAUCGAAAAAGUGUGCUUUGGGAGGGUUUGUCGGGUUUCUGCCUGCGCCUCCCAGAGACUUUUUUUCUCUAACUACGUGUCAAAGUAACAUGUCUGAAAAAUUAGUUUUAUAAAAAAAAACAACUUUCAACAACGGAUCUCUUGGCUCUCGCAUCGAUGAAGAACGCAGC
rnacentral:misc_RNA from 1 species